GCUCGAUUGGCACCAGAAUUAGCAGGUCCACCAGUGGUGCCCCAUUCUCUUCACAGAUGAGAUCAAGUUCACACUGAGCACGUGACAGAUGUGAAAGUUUGUUUUUUCAAAUUUGUUGUGGCUUUUUUCUUCUUCUGAGAAAUCACAAGUUGUUGCUGAGAAAAACUGUUUUUUUCCCCUUCUUGUUAAAAGGUGCCACCUUCAAGUGUAGAUGCAGAAGCAGAACGAUGCACACCACAUCACGACAGACAACACGAGCCAAAAGAGAGAUCUUCCCACCACUUAAAGAUCUCAUGAACCGGACUCCAGACAUUCCCACAGAUCAAGAGAGAGAGGAGCAGUCAAAAGCAUCAUCAAACGUCCCUCAGAAGAUGGCAUUACUUGUCGAGCAAAUACACAAAUUUCUACAAAAAAGGACUGUUUUCAGUUCUUUCCCCAUGAGUCUUUCGUUAAUUGGAUUUGAGGAGUUGAUGGACCUAAAAUUUUUUGUAUGCCCGUGCAGACAUGAUCUGAAUAUAUGGCUAACAGUAUCUAUUUUUAUUGGUCCUCCUUUUAUUAUUUUUGCUUUAAUGUAUCUUGUUUUAAGACCUUGUAAACAUUAUGGGUUUCGUUGUUCUCAAGAAGAGAAUGAUGAUACUCAGCAGAACUGGCCUAAAGCUUUAGCACAUUGUCUAAUGCCAUCGUUAAUGUGGGUCAUCAUCUUGUUACUUGAUGGCGAUUAUGUUGCUUGUGCCAUGACAGACUGGAAGGGAGUUUAUGUUUUUGAUCAGGAACUCAACAGGUCGUGGUGUAAACCUGCUGCAGAGAUGCGAAAUGAGGCAGAGCUGCGAGAUAUGAUUCGCCAAAAUAUUUAUUACUCACGGAUAUCAGGCUAUUGCUUGAGCCUUGCCUUAAGUGUAUUGACAAUAACCUUAAUGGUUAUUUAUGACUGCUGCACAAGUGGAAAAUGUGACUGCUGCCCAAAACGGGUGUUAUCCUGCUUCAGACGAACAGCAAAGACGCAGAGUGAGGAAGAAGGUGCUGCUACAAUGGGACAGGAACUGCAAGAGGCAGGGAGUUCUGCUAAAGUGCAUUGGUUUGGGAGUUCUGCUAAAAUGGGACAUGGACAGCAAAGGUCAGGGAGUUCUGCUCCAAUGAGUUCUGCUACAAGGACACCGGAACGGGAAAAUCUACUGCCGGACCAAAAUCCAUUGACAGACCAGAGACAAUAAAAUGACAGCUAUCAAAUGAGCCACUUAAACAAACCCAACACAAAGGCCUUCUUCUAACAAAUAACCAGCUAUUAACAGAUUCAAUUUUCAC
rnacentral:lncRNA from 1 species